CGUCAGCUUCGUCGACCAUUCGUUCGUUCCGCACGGGCUCAACUGGGCCGAAGCCCAGCUACAUCGUCGUGAUGGAAGCAUGAACCCAGCGACCAAACCCUCGCCCUGAUGGCGUGCUCCACCGACGCCGCCGCCUGACUGCCCACACGACGCGCCUGACGCCACCUCCUGCCACCCCCACCCCCAUCCUCCUCGCCAAAUCUUCCCAGAUGAUGGAUUCUAUCAGCUUAGGAUCACUUUUUUCAGUCGGUGCCCCAAUAUCGUGAGCGGCGGUGCUUGAUUCGGCGACGGUGGGGCUUGAUCCAUCGACAGCGAAGGAGAAGGAGGCCUGAGACGAAGGAGAAGGAGGCCGGCGGCGGAGGACAAGGAGGGUGACGUCUAGGAGCAGCUGCAGCAGCACCGGUGGCCGUGCAGGCGACCGUCUUUGCCUGCCCGGCCGUCUCCGGAACGCCGUUUUCCUGCUGCAGAACCGCGUCCCUGGGCACGCCAAGCCGUGAUCCCUCCGUCCUGUCGUCAUCGCCGCAACCAUCUGUGGUAUUUUGCGGUGGAUUUUUUUCUUCUACUCGUACUCCCGGUUAUGGAGAGCUGCUACUGCCUCUCGAGCUCCACUGCACUGCUUUCUCUAUGGCGGAGAUCAGAUCAUGAUCGUUCCACUUGGACUUGGCUCUCCGACCAUGUUCUCUAAAUCUUCACAGUUUCUUUUUGGAACCUUUCAACCUUUCAAGCUUCUAUGCUCCAACGUUAGAAAUUAAUCAGGAUUGCAAUAGAGCCCUCGUCCAUGGGCUUGAACGCCGCCUUUGCAUCUGUAGGCGGAAACACCCAGUCAUCGAAGACGCCUACC